UGCGUAGGCGGCCUGUCAAGUCGGCGGUGAAACCCCCGGGCUCAACCCGGGGACUGCCGUCGAAACUGGCGGGCUAGAGUACGUUGGGAGUGCGCGGAAUGUGUGGUGUAGCGGUGAAAUGCAUAGAUAUCACACAGAACACCGAUCGCGUAGGCAGCGCACUACGCCGCAACUGACGCUGAGGCACGAAGGCGCGGGGAUCGAACA
rnacentral:rRNA from 1 species